AGAGCUACGGGGGGAAACGGACACAGAGCAGAGGAGUCUUGAGGACCGGUUGGGGGCAGGGAAGUGGCUAGGGAGCCUACGUGACAGCCUAAAGGUUCUGGGUUUGAUCCCCAAUGUCCUUGAGGGAGACCUGAUAGAUAAGGCUUGGUUCCGUCUCCUUAAACCCAUGACCUGAAUCCAGUACUGAUCUUAUGAAACCCGCUCUCUGGGGGUGUGUGCUGCUUCCGCCAACUACAAGCUGCGUGUGGAAGUGGGUCACGCGGUACACCCGAGAUAGACUCCACAGAGCUCAGCACCAACGUACCUAGCAGGAGUAGAAGAGG